rnacentral:rRNA from 1 species
GUGGGGAAUAUUGGACAAUGGGCGAAAGCCUGAUCCAGCCAUGCCGCGUGUGUGAAGAAGGUCUUCGGAUUGUAAAGCACUUUAAGUUGGGAGGAAGGGCAGUAAGUUAAUACCUUGCUGUUUUGACGUUACCGACAGAAUAAGCACCGGCUAACUUCGUGCCAGCAGCCGCGGUAAUACGAAGGGUGCAAGCGUUAAUCGGAAUUACUGGGCGUAAAGCGUGCGCAGGCGGUUAUAUAAGACAGAUGUGAAAUCCCCGGGCUCAACCUGGGAACUGCCUCCAAAACUGCAUGACUAGAGUACGGUAGAGGGUAGUGGAAUUUCCUGUGUAGCGGUGAAAUGCGUAGAUAUAGGAAGGAACACCAGUGGCGAAGGCGACUACCUGGACUGAUACUGACACUGAGGUGCGAAAGCGUGGGGAGCAAACAGGAUUAGAAACCCGGGUAGUCC